GCAUAUCAAUAAGCGGAAAAAGAAGACUAACCAAAGGAUUUCCCCUAGUAACGGCGAGCGAAGCGGGAGAGCUCAAAUUUGAAAGCUGGCACCUCCGGUGUCCGCGUUGUAAUCUCGAGACGUGUUUUCCGUGCGGACUCUAUGGACAAGUCCCUUGGAAACAGGGCAUCGUAGAGGGUGAAAAUCCCGUACUUGCCAUGGAUGUACCGUGCUUUGUGAUACACGCUCUUAAGAGUCGAGUUGUUUGGGAUUGCAGCUCAAAAUGGGUGGUAGACUCCCAUCUAAAGCUAAAUAUCGGGGAGAGACCGAUAGCGAACAAGUACCGUGAGGGAAAGAUGAAAAGCACUUUGGAAAGAGAGUUAAAAGUCCGUGAAAUUGUCGAAAGGGAAGCGCUUGAAGUCAGCCAUGCUGCGCGGACUCAGCCCGGCUGGAUGCCUGGUGUAUUUCUCAGUAGCAAGUCAGCAUGGAUUUGAGUCGCCGGAGAAGGGUGGGAGGAAUGUAGCACCCACGGGUGUGUUAAGCCUCCUACUGGAUACGGCGAUUUGGAUCCAGGAACGCCGUGUGCCUCUGGCGGGUCUUCGGACACCUUCACACUUAGGAUGCUGGCGUAAUGGCUUUAAGCCGGCCCGUCUUGAAACACGGACCAAGGAGUCUAACAUAUGUGCGAGUUUUUGGGUGGCAAACCCCAUGAGCGUAAUGAAAGUGAAUGCAAGGUGGGAUCCCGCAAGGAGCACCAUCGACCGGUCCUGAUCUUCUGGGAUGGAUCCGAGUAAGAGCAUAUAUGUUGGGACCCGAAAGAUGGUGAACUAUGCCUGAAUAGGGCGAACCCAGAGGGACUCUGGUGGAGGCUCGCAGCGGUUCUGACGUGCAAAUCGAUCGUCAAAUUUGGUAUAGGGCG
rnacentral:rRNA from 1 species